rnacentral:tRNA from 2 species
AAAUAUGAAAUGAUUAAUCAUACCUAGUUUCGACCUAGUUUUAGGCUGCUUGCCCAUAUUUU